rnacentral:rRNA from 1 species
GACGAACGCUGGCGGCGCGCCUAACACAUGCAAGUCGAGCGGAACUAAGACUUCGGUCUUAGUUUAGCGGCGGACGGGUGAGUAACGCGUGAGUAACCUGCCCUUCAGCGGGGGAUAGCGUCUGGAAACGGACGAUAAUACCGCAUAACGUAUAUUGAAGACAUCUUCGAUAUACCAAAGGAUUUAUCCACUGAAGGAUGGACUCGCGUCCGAUUAGGUAGUUGGUGAGGUAAUGGCCCACCAAGCCCGCGAUCGGUAGCCGGACUGAGAGGGUGAUCGGCCACAUUGGAACUGAGAAACGGUCCAGACUCCUACGGGAGGCAGCAGUGGGGAAUAUUGCACAAUGGGCGAAAGCCUGAUGCAGCAACGCCGCGUGAGUGAAGAAGUACUUCGGUAUGUAAAGCUCUGUCUUUGGGGACGAUAAUGACGGUACCCAAGGAGGAAGCCACGGCUAACUACGUGCCAGCAGCCGCGGUAAUACGUAGGUGGC